CCAGCUCAUCGACUUCGGGGUGUUUCCUGGUGCGCUUCGUCGUGCUCUCACGUUGU
rnacentral:tRNA from 1 species